rnacentral:rRNA from 1 species
CACGUAGGGGGCGAGCGUUGUCCGGAAUCAUUGGGCGUAAAGAGCUCGUAGGCGGCUCGGUAAGUCGGGUGUGAAACCCCCAGGCUCAACCUGGGGACGCCACCCGAUACUGCUGUGGCUAGAGUCCAGUAGGGGAGUGUGGAAUUCCCGGUGUAGCGGUGAAAUGCGCAGAUAUCGGGAGGAACACCAGCGGCGAAGGCGGCACUCUGGGCUGGAACUGACGCUGAGGAGCGAAAGCGUGGGGAGCGAACAGG